CGCCUGCCGGCGACCGGCGCACGGGUGAGUAACACGUAUGCGACCUGCCCCCGCAGGGGGAUAACCGGGAGAAAUCCCGACUAAUACCGCGUAACGCCGCGGACCUGCAUGGGUCUGCGGCCAAAGGAAGCGAUUCCGGCGGGGGAUGGGCAUGCGGCGCAUUAGCUAGUCGGCGGGGUAACGGCCCACCGAGGCGACGAUGCGUAGGGGUUCUGAGAGGAAGGUCCCCCACACUGGUACUGAGACACGGACCAGACUCCUACGGAAGGCAGCAG
rnacentral:rRNA from 1 species